rnacentral:rRNA from 1 species
UACGGGGGGGGCAAGCGUUGUUCGGAAUUACUGGGCGUAAAGGGCGCGUAGGCGGUUGUAUAAGAUUGAUGUGAAAUCCCUGGGCUUAACCUAGGAACUGCAUCGAUGACUGUACGACUAGAGUACUGUAGAGGGUAGUGGAAUUUCCGGUGUAGCGGUGAAAUGCGUAGAUAUCUGGAGGAAUACCGGUGGCGAAGGCGGCAUCCUGGACCAUAACUGACGCUGAGGCGCGAAAGCUAGGGGAGCAAACGGG